rnacentral:piRNA from 1 species
UGAACCUUUACAUAAGUGGUGACACCUCAAGC